rnacentral:rRNA from 1 species
GCUACACAUGCAGUCGAGCGGCAGCGGGAAGAUAGNUUAGCUAUCUUUGCCGGCGAGCGGCGGACGGGUGAGUAAUGCCUAGGGAUCUGCCCAGUCGAGGGGGAUAACAGUUGGAAACGACUGCUAAUACCGCAUACGCCCUACGGGGGAAAGGAGGGGACCUUCGGGCCUUCCGCGAUUGGAUGAACCUAGGUGGGAUUAGCUAGUUGGUGAGGUAAUGGCUCACCAAGGCGACGAUCCCUAGCUGUUCUGAGAGGAUGAUCAGCCACACUGGGACUGAGACACGGCCCAGACUCCUACGGGAGGCAGCAGUGGGGAAUAUUGCACAAUGGGGGAAACCCUGAUGCAGCCAUGCCGCGUGUGUGAAGAAGGCCUUCGGGUUGUAAAGCACUUUCAGUAGGGAGGAAAGGUAGCAGCUUAAUACGCUGUUGCUGUGACGUUACCUACAGAAGAAGGACCGGCUAACUCCGUGCCAGCAGCCGCGGUAAUACGGAGGGUCCGAGCGUUAAUCGGAAUUACUGGGCGUAAAGCGUGCGCAGGCGGUUUGUUAAGCGAGAUGUGAAAGCCCCGGGCUCAACCUGGGAAUUGCAUUUCGAACUGGCGAACUAGAGUCUUGUAGAGGGGGGUAGAAUUCCAGGUGUAGCGGUGAAAUGCGUAGAGAUCUGGAGGAAUACCGGUGGCGAAGGCGGCC